GACUUAAUAGUUUAAAUAAAAAUUUUGAUCUUGUAAAUCAGAGAUAGUUAGGACUUUAGGUCU
rnacentral:tRNA from 1 species